rnacentral:rRNA from 1 species
UACGGAGGGUGCAAGCGUUAAUCGGAAUUACUGGGCGUAAAGCGUGCGCAGGCGGUUUGUUAAGGCCGCUGUGAAAUCCCCGAGCUCAACUUGGGAAUUGCAGUGGAUACUGGCAAGCUGGAGUAUGGUAGAGGAAGGUGGAAUUCCCGGUGUAGCAGUGAAAUGCGUAGAGAUCGGGAGGAACACCAGUGGCGAAGGCGGCCUUCUGGACCAAUACUGACGCUCAUGCACGAAAGCGUGGGGAGCAAACAGG